UGAGAAAAUCCAGCAUCCACCGGCUGUUGCGUAGCCACAUUAUCACAGACGCCGCGGUUGACCCAUCCAUGACGGCGACGACAACAAUUCAUUCGAUUAUCAACCACCAGACAACGCAGUCGAGAGCUUCCUUUCGAUUCCCUCAAUUUUUCAGGAAAUCUAGAGAGUUUAAUGAGCUUUCUCCUCCCUUUUUCACCUCUCCUUCAUCCUGUUCUUCUUCAUCGUCUUACUCUUCAUCGAAUGCAGCGGCGUCGUUUGUUGGAUGGUACUUGGCGAUGGUGAAGUCUCGGCCUAUUUUGACAAAGAGUGUCACAUCCUCGCUUAUUUAUGUUGCUGCUGACUUUUCAUCUCAGACAAUUGCACAGCCAGUUUCAGAACCUUAUGAUUUGGUGAGGACAUUGCGAAUGGCAGCAUAUGGUAUGCUCGUUCUAGGACCAACGCUGCAUUAUUGGUUCAACUUUGUGUCAAAACAAUUUCCAAAGCGAGAUUUAAUCACAACAUUUAAGAAAAUUAUCAUGGGGCAGACAAUCUAUGGACCUGCCAUGACAGCUCUUUUCUUCUCCUUGAACGCAUGCCUACAAGGUGAGAACAGUAAUGAGAUUAUUGCCCGGUUAAAGCGGGAUUUGUUGCCGACGAUGAUGAAUGGUGUCAUGUACUGGCCCAUGUGUGAUUUUAUCACUUUCAAAUUCAUCCCUGUCCAUUUACAGCCACUGGUUAGCAAUUCAUUUUCAUAUCUAUGGACAAUUUAUAUGACAUAUAUGGCAAGUCUGGGGAAAGUGGGCGCUGACAGCUGAUUAGCUCAAUGCUUCUGGGUCUUACCUCCCAACUGCACGGCAAUAUACUGGUAGAUGAAACAGUGAAUCAAAUUAAACCAAACUUUUGUUACGCCUUCUCCCAAAAUGCUGUUAUUUUGUCAAUGGUGGGAAGCUCAGUUGAACUUGAUAGUUACAUCUUUCUUUAAUAUAGAUGAGCAGCAACAGUCUCGUCGACUAGUGUAAUUGAAUGGAUAUUGCGUAAGGCAAAUCGUAAUAGUAUUAGAGACAUUUUUUUUCAAAAAAAAAAAAAAAAAA
rnacentral:misc_RNA from 1 species